rnacentral:misc_RNA from 1 species
GAAGAAGAAGAAGAAGAAACUCCUCAAAACAAGUCUGUGGAGGAACCAAAGUUGCUUGGUGUUCAUCCAGUAUCUAAUGAAAAGGUUCUCUUGAAGAAUGGUCCAUAUGGAUUCUAUGUACAGCUUGGUGAAGACAGGAAGGGUUUCACACCAAAAAGAGCCUCUGUUUCUCAUAUAAAGGAUGUGGAUGGUAUUACAUUGGAGGAUGCUCUGGGGUUACUGCGUUAUCCUGUGACAUUGGGUAACCAUCCAAAGGAUGGGCAUCCUGUGAUAUUAAAGCAUGCAAAGGUUGGAUUUUCUGUUAGACAUCGACGGACAAUUGCUUCAGUUCCCAAGAAUAUGAAGCCAGAUGAUGUGACCUUGGAGAAGGCAUUGGAGCUUUUAUCAGGUGCUAAUGUCAGGCACCUCGGUCGACCUAAGAGGAAAACAAAGGUUGAGGAAAUCGUGGAGGCUGUGUAGCCUUGGCAAAUGGCAAUUACAAGCCGGCUGUUCUGAUGUACAGUCACUUGUUCAAGGCAACUUUUCAACAACACAAAUCAUGUGCUUGCCAAGAUGCAUCUCAUCUCCCGCAUGGGUGUCAAGGGAUUCGAUUAAUGGAGAGAGUUGUUCUGAAUGAUGACAACCAAUUGUUAUAAUGUCAUCUACUAACCCUUUUGUUUGUUAUCAUAUUCUUUUGGGGUCAUAUUCACAGGGGAUCGCAUUAGUUAUUUGAGGUAAACGUGAAUUUCGAGUGUUGUAUUUGAUUCUUCGGACAAUGCAUUCAGAUGGAAUCUUCAUUGCAACUAUUCUUUUGGUUUAAACUACCUGGACAUUGUAAUAACAUAGUGGUGAAAAUGGGGAAAAGUUGCUGCAGUCGAAACCAGCAAUUUUGAAAUUUCGGUUUUCUUUGUAAGAUUCCUGGUUAUGGAAGUCUUUAAAUUUACGGCAAAAGCCUUCCGGAUGAUACUCUUUUAAUACCGUUC